rnacentral:rRNA from 1 species
UACGAAGGGAGCAAGCGUUGUCCGGAUUUAUUGGGCGUAAAGAGCGUGUAGGCGGCCAGACAGGUCCGUUGUGAAAACUGGAGGCUUAACCUCCAGACGUCGAUGGAAACCGUCUGGCUAGAGUCCGGAAGAGGAGAGUGGAAUUCCUGGUGUAGCGGUGAAAUGCGCAGAUAUCAGGAAGAACACCCGUGGCGAAGGCGGUUCUCUGGGACGGUACUGACGCUGAGACGCGAAAGCGUGGGGAGCGAACAGG